UCAGCAGAAAUGUUCUGGUAAGAAUGUUCUGUGCUCAGCUUGUAUUGGCACACUGUGGGGGGAACGACACGCUACAAAACUGCGCACCACACGUCCCAAUCAAUCACUGACCUCAAUGCCUUUUCACAGGUGCAGGUUGAAACAACAGGGCAGUGGCUUUCCCCACUUUUGUUUGUGAUUUGACUCCAUUUCUUCAUCUUCUGUCUUUGGCGCAGGGCAAGUGAGGACACAAGCUGACGCCGAACCACGAGGCCUAAGAUACUGCAAUGCAGAGAGGAUAUGUGGACAUGCUGCGUACAGCGACGGAGGGAAUCCAGCACAAUGAGCGGCGGAGAUCUCAGCGCUUUAUCCCGGAUAGCCGACUGACUGCGGUUUGCGUGCCAGUUGCCUCAAAGUCUCAGUGGUAAGUCAUGGAGUGUGUGUGGGUGUGGAGGUAAGUGUGUGUGUGUGUGUGUGCGUGUGUGUGUGUGUGUGUAUGUGUGUGUGUGUGUGUGUACAUGUAUGCCUGUGUAUGUGAAGCAUGCACACAUGCAGGGGUUUUCUUUUGACAAAACCGACGAAACACUAAGAUGAAAGCCGCGCUACAGCGUUGUCGUUUUCGACCCGAACUCCAUGUUGCUGUGUGGAAGUCUGGGUGUUGUUUCCUUCAGGGCGACAGGACUAUCCAGAGAGAGGAGGCUUAACUGAAUGUAGGUGAACCAAGGGGGGGAAACGUGGCACGGUCUUUGAAUUUCCGACGAAUCUGAGCUAAUCUCUCCUCUGGUGCGUUCCUACCUGCAGUUUCGCACUCCAGGUCGGCCUUUUGUGUGUGUGAAAGAGAGACGGUUUUGGAGGGAGC
rnacentral:lncRNA from 1 species